GCUAGCUCCGGCCGAGAGAAGCCGCGGCCAAAGGAGGGGGAGGAGGAAGAAGAGAAGGAAGAGGAGAGGGGGCCGCGGUGGCCACUAGGCUCUCGGAAGACGGGCUCAUGGACGGGUGAGGCGGCGGUGUGCGCAGACAGUGUUACAGCCGCGCGCGCGUCCCAGGCCCUGGCGCGGGCCUUGGCUCCAGGAGGAAAAGGAGCCCGCCAAGGCGCAGAGGAGAGCGGGCCGCCCCGCAGCCCGAGCCGGAGAGGGAGCGUGAGCAGAGCCGGCCCCGGCCGGGCCUCCGAAACCAUGAACUUUCUGCUC
rfam:Ictidomys tridecemlineatus contig010802, whole genome shotgun sequence.